ACCUUGACCCCUAGCUGCCAACUGUGU
rnacentral:piRNA from 1 species